GUGAAUCAUCGAAUCUUUGAACGCACAUUGCGCCCGCUAGUAUUCUGGCGGGCAUGCCUGUCUGAGCGUCAUUUCACCAAUCCCCCUGGCAUUCGUGUCCGGGGGCUGUUGGGGAUCGUCGACCGCCCCCCCGGGGCGUGCGCCGUCCCCCAAACCUAGUGGCAGCCUCGCCGCGGCCUCCCCUGCGUAGUAAACACUCUCGCAGGCGGAACCACAGCGAAGGGUCGCCGUAAAACCCCCAACUUUCUAAUGGUUGACCUCAGAUCAGGUAGGAAUACCCGCUGAACUUAAGCAUAUCAA
rnacentral:misc_RNA from 1 species